UCUGUGAAACGCGCUGGGCGAUAAUCGCAAUUUCCCGCAAUUGGGGCGUUACAUCCAUUGUAGACGACUUUGGCUCAACCAGGUAUUGUAAGUGCGAGAGUAAGGUUGUCCUACGAUCCACUAAGAUUCAGCCUGCUUUGUACGAUGUGUUUUUUCCUCAUCACAUUUAGGCCUGCUGGGAUGCAAUCCACUUCGCCAUGACCAGCUGCGGCUUUGCCGCAUGCCGAGCUGGACUCUCCAUGCCUCAUUCAAACCAUGUGAAUUCAAAACAUCCAACCUAUCCCUGCCGCCCAUACAUACAACCCAUCAUGACCAAUCUUUUGACAACCUUAAGAAUGCCAUUGAAGCAUUGAUCAUCCUAGGAAAACCAACGCACACGCAUAUCGCACCAUGACUAAUCUCUUGACGACCUUAAGAAUGCAAUCCAAACGCCCACUAGUUUAGAUGCAUCAUACACGCAUCGCAUUAUAGUUAUAUAAGUGAUACAACAUUAAUUAGUCCUACUGAAAGACUAGUUAGUACUGCCAUCCAAAAAUUAAUCACCAGCUUAUAUGCAUCAUACACCCAUCGCAUUAUGACCAGGCUUUUGACGACCUUAAGAAUGCCAUCGCAAAACUCUUCAGCUUUCACCUUGCAUGCAUCCUACACACACACACACACACACACACACACACACACACACACACACACACACAGGCAUACACCCAAUCAUGGCCAGUCUUUUGACGACCGUAAACAAGCCAUACCAAAACUCAUCAGCGCACGUAGCACAAGCUCAGCACGCCAAUAGCUAAAGUACUAUCAACCAUGCAAACUUCAAACUUGCAUGACAAUCAUGUUGUCUGGAUGUUGCAUACGCUCGCGUCCACAGACACGACGCAUGACGAGCCUUUUGAUGGCCUUAACGUUUACAAAAUCGAGACCACGCAUGCUGGGGAUUUGGGAUUCAGAAAAUGCUGGGUGUUUGGAAUUCCGUCAAGCAUCUAUGAGAACUUUGAAGACUGAAAUGGAAAAGGGUUCCAUGUGAACAGCUAUUGGACAUGGGUUAGCGGGUCCUAAGCGAAAGCUUAACUGCGGGAAUUUUGGGGCUUUCUUGUCCUCGUAUUUCGCGAAAGGGAAUGAGGAUAAUAUUCCUUAGCCAGGAAGAGGAUACUGNUUUGGGGCUUUCUUGUCCUCGUAUUUCGCGAAAGGGAAUGAGGAUAAUAUUCCUUAGCCAGGAAGAGGAUACUGUACGGUGACGUGAACGAACUCCUCAACGCAGGUGGGUGCCCCGGGAAGCGUUGUCUUUGCUUUUUAACAACCUCUUAUAAACAUACCCUGGAAUCAGAUUAUCUGGAGAUAGGGUUGACUGGUUGGUAAAGCUUCCUGGCUUCCAGGGNGGUCGAUAGAAGAAAGUAGAUAAGGGAAGUCGGCAAAAUGGAUCCGUAACUUCGGGAAAAGGAUUGGCUCUGAGUGCUGGGUGUAUAGCGCCAGUGUGUUCAUCGUCGGUUGGAGCUGCGCGGGCCCGUUCGUGCUUCGCGGCGCAUCUGUGGAUCGCUGGCACUGAGCGCGAUGUGAGCACUGGCCUGUGAACACAGUGAGCAGUUAGCUCAGAACUGGAGCGGACAAGGGGAAUCCGACUGUUCAAUUAAAACAGAGCAUUGCGAUGGCCGCAGGCGGUGCUGACAGAAUGUGAUUUCUGCCCAGCGCCCUGAAUGUCGAUAUGAUGACAUUCAAUCAAGCACGGGUGAACAGCGGACGUAACUACGACCUGAUAAUUUCAAGUAAAGGUGGGUUUUGGGGAGGAGGGCUGGUUCUUCAGAAAACUACCAGUUGGUUAUUGAGUGAGGGAGCCCCUAUUCCUGCGGCAUGCCCUUCGUAAGAGGCAACCGCUUUGACGCGU
rfam:Eimeria praecox, Houghton, WGS project CBTT01000000 data, contig: Eph_contig3671_1